GCUGAGCCUGGGCUCUGCCCGUUCCCCUCUGCCUCGUUGCUCCAUCAGGGAAAUGGGUGAGUGGGGUCAGACCUCUCCCCACCCCCACCCAAACAUGACUGUAUUCCUUCAUUUUAACAAUUGUGUGCUGAGCCCUAAUUCUGUCCCAGCCUCAGGACGGUGCAGGGGUGAAUAAGACGGACCCGACCUUCCCUAGAGUCCAGGCAGGUGUGGGGGUGACCGUGCAGGGAUAAUCAUACUUGCUCCCACACUGACCGGGAUGGUGAAGAGGACCGAGCUGACGAUCCCCCAACGCAGAAGAACAAGCCCCCAGACUCUCUGACUGACAUCCGUGCUCAUGGCAAGGACUCAGAGAGGGCCAGGAGCGAGCUGUGGAGGCCAGGGGCAUCAAAGCUGGACACCCAGCCCAUGCCCUCUCCCGGCCACGGCCUCCUGCCCAUGCCCUGCCCCCCGCCCCCCCCCCCCGUCCCCGUGGCUCCCCCAACACCACACAAGGCAGGAAGCCCGUG